ensembl:lncRNA
CAUAAAUUAGUCCCCUUUGUAGCAUGAUGGGGAGUUAAAAAAAAAAAAAAGAGUAUGUGAUGCAUGAAUCUCCAUCUUCCUCUCACCUCUCCUACCCAUUCCCAGACACCACCUCCCCCAACCUGGUUCAGCAGCACAUCUCAUUUUUCUACAGAUGGAACAGCCGCUACCCUCCAGAAUCCGAAAUCCUCAAGGUACAAAGAGGAUAUUUUGAAACCAAUCUGUUUACAUCAGAAGUGUUGAACAAGUUUGUUAUACAAGACAAAAGCUCAUGAUGGAGUGAUGUUGAGGUUCACUGUCAAAGAAAGGGGCUCAGCUUGCCUUUGAUGUAAGUAGAGUUCUUUUUGGAAAGGUAUUGGUUCUCUUAAUACAUAGAAAAAGAGAGCAUGAAGA